AAGUGUCCAUCUCUUCGACACUUGGAUUCUCCUGUCUUACACCGUGAAGAAAAAUAUCUUCUUCAUCCUAUUAUUUCAAAUAGCACAAUUUCGAUUUUCCCAUUGAUCUUUAGCGUUUCUAUGCUACCACCAAGUCUCUCUCUAUAUCCCUUCAUUUCGAAGAAACCAAGAUGUUUUUAUAUGUAUUGUGUUUCUUCUUCUUUCUGUAAUUCCCAGAUCGAAUACUAUUCACAUUGAGUGUCAUAUCUUGUCAACUCUGUAAUACCUCUCUCUGAAGUUUUAUUAUAAUAAAUCAUACUCAUAGCACACUAUAAAAACUUUUUAAAUGAGUCUUAAACGUCUCCAUAAUUGGAAAUUCAAGGAUGUACCUUAACAUGCCACAUCUUUUAAUUUACUGUAGAAUAGAACUUGAGCAUCCCAUGGUAAAAAUAUGAUAUCUUUCAACUCAUAAAGAGUUAAUCUUCGAAUCCUUUUGAGUAUUGAAAUAGACUAAAAAAAAUAUAAAAUAGCGCUUAAUUCCAUCCCUAAAUCAUACCAUUUAGUGAAUAUUUAUUUUAGUGACAUUUACGUCACAAAUCAAAUUUUUCAGUUGAAAAUCAGGUUGAGCACCUCUUAAUAAAAAAUUUGUUUAUCUUAAUCCUCAAAGAAUUUCUUCUUGAAAUCUUUUGUGUUGAAAACUAAACUCAAAACCAAAUCAUAACAUCAUAGU
rnacentral:lncRNA from 1 species